CCUACGGGUGGCUGCAGUGGGGAAUUUUGGACAAUGGGCGCAAGCCUGAUCCAGCCAUUCCGCGUGAGUGAAGAAGGCCUUCGGGUUGUAAAGCUCUUUCGCAAGGGAAGAAAACUUAUCCUCUAACAUAGGAUGAGGUUGACGGUACCUUGAUAAGAAGCACCGGCUAACUACGUGCCAGCAGCCGCGGUAAUACGUAGGGUGCGAGCGUUAAUCGGAGUUACUGCGGGUAAAGUGGUAGCAGGCUGGUGAAAUCCCCGGGCUCAACUAGGGAACUGCGUUUGAAACUACAAGACUAGAGUAGGUCAGAGGGGGGUAGAAUUCCACGUGUAGCAGUGAAAUGCGUAGAGAUGUGGAGGAAUAUCAAUGGCGAAGGCAGCCCCCUGGGAUCAUAUUGACGCUCAUGCACGAAAGCGUGGGGAGCAAACAGGAUUAGAUACCCCGGUAGUC
rnacentral:rRNA from 1 species